rnacentral:rRNA from 1 species
CCCGAAUUGUGAAGAGCUAAAAUUAUAUAUAUAUUAAUGUUGAAUAAUUAUUUGUAAUAUAUUUUUUGUAAUUAUAUGUUAUUCGUUUUUCAAUAUAUCUGGUUUUUGAGGAAAUUAAUUUAAUUAAGCUGAAUUUUGAAUUUUUCUAUAUAUUUAGAUUUUAUUAAGAUUUAUGUAAUGUUUAAGGGGAUAAGCUUUUAAACAAAUUUAUAUAAUUAAGUAUUGUAUUGUUUGAUGUAGGAAUAGAAGUUUUCAUCUUUUGAAGUGUAUUAUUACUUGAUUUUAUAAUAUUUGAUUUUUGUUUUUUUAUAUUUUUUACUUAAAUUAUAAUUUGAAUUGUUUUUGUUUUGUAAUAAUGAUUGAAUUAGUAUAUUAAAUUGUUUUUAUAUUAUUGUUUGGUAGGUUAUCUAAAGGAAUUCGGCAAUUAAAUUUUCUGCCUGUUUAUUAAAAACAUGGCCUUUUGAUAAUAAUUUAAGGUCUGACCUGCUCUAUGAUUAAUUAAAUGGCUGCGGUAUUUUGACCGUGCAAAGGUAGCAUAAUCAUUAGUUUUUUAAUUGGAAGCUGGUAUGAAUGGUUGGACAAGAGAAUUACUGUCUCUGGAUAAUUUGGUUUGAAUUUUAUUUUUUAGUGAGAAAGCUUAAAUUUUUAUGAGGGACGAGAAGACCCUAUAGAAUUUUAUAGAUUAAUUUUGGUGGGGUUUUUAGGUUAAUUGGUUUAGUUUAAAUUAAUUUGUUUUGUUGGGGUGAUAGAAAAAUUUAUUUAACUUUUUUUUACUUUAUACAUUGAUAUAUGAGUAUAUGAUCCAUUAAUUAUGAUUAUAAGAUAAAAUUACCUUAGGGAUAACAGCGUUAUUAGUUUGGAGAGUUCUUAUCGAUAGACUAGAUUGCGACCUCGA